rnacentral:rRNA from 1 species
AUCCAGACUCCUACGGGAGGCAGCAGUGGGGGAUAUUGCACAAUGGGGGGAACCCUGAUGCAGCGACGCCGCGUGGGUGAAGGAGUAUUUCGGUAUGUAAAGCCCUAUCGGCAGGGAAGAAUUUAGACGGUACCUGACUAAGAAGCCCCGGCUAACUACGUGCCAGCAGCCGCGGUAAUACGUAGGGGGCAAGCGUUAUCCGGAAUUACUGGGUGUAAAGGGAGCGUAGACGGUGAAGUAAGUCUGGAGUGAAAGGCGGGGGCCCAACCCCCGGACUGCUCUGGAAACUAUUUGACUGGAGUGCAGGAGAGGUAAGCGGAAUUCCUAGUGUAGCGGUGAAAUGCGUAGAUAUUAGGAGGAACACCAGUGGCGAAGGCGGCUUACUGGACUGUAACUGACGUUGAGGCUCGAAAGCGUGGGGAGCAAACAGGAUUAGAUACCCCCGUA